rnacentral:rRNA from 1 species
CCUACGGGAGGCAGCAGUGGGGAAUCUUGGACAAUGGGGGCAACCCUGAUCCAGCCAUGCCGCGUGAGUGAUGAAGGCCCUAGGGUCGUAAAGCUCUUUCGCCUGUGAAGAUAAUGACGGUAGCAGGUAAAGAAACCCCGGCUAACUCCGUGCCAGCAGCCGCGGUAAUACGGAGGGGGUUAGCGUUGUUCGGAAUUACUGGGCGUAAAGCGCACGUAGGCGGAUCAGAAAGUUGGGGGUGAAAUCCCGGGGCUCAACCCCGGAACUGCCUCCAAAACUCCUGGUCUUGAGUUCGAGAGAGGUGAGUGGAAUUCCGAGUGUAGAGGUGAAAUUCGUAGAUAUUCGGAGGAACACCAGUGGCGAAGGCGGCUCACUGGCUCGAUACUGACGCUGAGGUGCGAAAGUGUGGGGAGCAAACAGGAUUAGAUACCCUGGUAGUCCACACCGUAAACGAUGAAUGCCAGACGUCGGCUAGCAUGCUAGUCGGUGUCACACUUAACGGAUUAAGCAUUCCGCCUGGGGAGUACGGCCGCAAGGUUAAAACUCAAAGGAAUUGACGGGG